rnacentral:rRNA from 1 species
GAUGAAACGCCUUCGGGUGUGAAUUAGCGGCGAACGGUGGAGGAACACGUGAAGAAUCUGCCUUCAACUCUGGGAUAACUCCGGGAAACCGGGGCUAAUACCGGAUAUGAGCCUUGAUCGCAUGAUCGGGGCUGGAAAGUUUUUCGGUUGAAGAUGACUUCUCGGCCUAUCAGCUUGUUGGUGAGGCAAUGGCUCACCAAGGCGACGACGGGUAGCCGGCCUGAGAGGGCGACCGGCCACACUGGGACUGAGACACCGCCCACACUCCUACGGGAGGCAGCAGUGGGGAAUAUUGGGCAAUGGAGGAAACUCUGACCCAGCGACGCCGCGUGAGGGAUGAAGGCCUUCGGGUUGUAAACCUCUUUCAGUAAGGAAGAAGCGAAAGUGACGGGACCUACAGAAGAAGCACCGG